AUGCACGCUGGCGGCGUGCCUAAUACCUGCCAGUCGCGCGAACAGACGAGGAGCUUGCUCCUCUGACGUUAGCGGCGGACGGGUGAGUAACACGUGGAUAACCUACCUAUAGGACUGGGAUAACUUCGGGAAACCGGAGCUAAUACCGGAUAAUAUAUUGAACCGCAUGGUUCAAUAGUGAAAGACGGUUUUGCUGUCACUUAUAGAUGGAUCCGCGCCGCAUUAGCUAGUUGGUAAGGUAACGGCUUACCAAGGCAACGAUGCGUAGCCGACCUGAGAGGGUGAUCGGCCACACUGGAACUGAGACACGGUCCAGACUCCUACGGGAGGCAGCAGUAGGGAAUCUUCCGCAAUGGGCGAAAGCCUGACGGAGCAACGCCGCGUGAGUGAUGAAGGUCUUCGGAUCGUAAAACUCUGUUAUUAGGGAAGAACAAAUGUGUAAGUAACUAUGCACGUCUUGACGGUACCUAAUCAGAAAGCCACGGCUAACUACGUG
rnacentral:rRNA from 1 species